AAUAGGAAGUCCACUGUGGACUCUUAAAGCUCGGGAUUUGGAGGAAAAUGUGCGGCGUUGGACUCGCCAUCAGGACGCUUCUUUACAAUGAUGGGACCGCGCACUCAGCCCCAGCCAGAGGCAAGUAUGAUUCCACUACAGCACCCAGCCAAUCCUGAUGACAGGCCACCUGCUGAAACAGUUAAAAAGAACAACAUAUGUACCACUGGACUGAUUCUGGACAGCUCAGCGCUGAAGAUGGCUGAU